UACAGAGGUCCCAAGCGUUGUUCGGAUUCAUUGGGCGUAAAGGGUGUGUAGGUGGCGCCGUAAGUCGGGUGUGAAAUCUCGGGGCUUAACUCCGAAACUGCAUUCGAUACUGCGGUGCUUGAGGACUGGAGAGGAGACUGGAAUUCAUGGUGUAGCAGUGAAAUGCGUAGAGAUCAUGAGGAAGACCAGUGGCGAAGGCGGGUCUCUGGGCCGAUAUUGACGCUGAGGAGCGAAAGCGUGGGGAGCAAACAGG
rnacentral:rRNA from 1 species